GAUGAUGAUCCCAAGCCUUCUGGCGAUCUCUUAAACGUCAAAGUGCCCUCAUUUUUUAAGGGUGCUUUAAGGAUAAAGAGCUGUAAAGCGCUCUUAUGUAAGAAUAUGCCGGGGAAGGUUUUCCGGUUUAUCCCGGAGGGCUUGUAGCUCAGUUGGUUAGAGCGCGCGCUUGAUAAGCGUGAGGUCGGAGGUUCAAGUCCUCCCAGGCCCACCAAUUUAAUCCAUUCAUUAAAGAGUGCUUAACAAAAGCCUUUUUUGAAAAUGUGGUGCUUAUCUGUUUCGCUUAAAAGAGCAAAACUUAAAUGAAGUUCAAAGACAAGAAGAUCUUUGUUAAACUGAUUUUAAUUUAAAAAGUUUGGAAUGGGUUAUGCUAUUUUAGGGGCCGUAGCUCAGCUGGGAGAGCACCUGCUUUGCAAGCAGGGGGUCGUCGGUUCGAUCCCGUCCGGCUCCACCAUUUAGAUCAUCAUCAUUGUUGUGAGAACAUCGUUUUGUGAGAGGUCUUUAUGACUUUUUGCCUGUUCU
rnacentral:tRNA from 1 species